CCUACGGGCGGCAGCAGUGGGGAAUAUUGCACAAUGGGGGAAACCCUGAUGCAGCGACGCCGCGUGAGUGAAGAAGUAUUUCGGUAUGUAAAGCUCUAUCAGCAGGGAAGAAAAUGACGGUACCUGACUAAGAAGCCCCGGCUAACUACGUGCCAGCAGCCGCGGUAAUACGUAGGGGGCAAGCGUUAUCCGGAUUUACUGGGUGUAAAGGGAGCGUAGACGGCCAGACAAGUCAGAAGUGAAAGCCCAGGGCUCAACCCUGGGACUGCUUUUGAAACUGCCGGGCUGGAGUGCAGGAGAGGGCGGUGGAACUCCAUGUGUAGCGGUAAAAUGCGUAGAUAUAUGGAAGAACACCAGUGGCGAAGGCGGCCGCCUGGCCUGUUGCUGACGCUGAGGCACGAAAGCGUGGGGAGCAAAUAGGAUUAGAUACCCGGGUAGUC
rnacentral:rRNA from 1 species